rnacentral:rRNA from 1 species
AUUGAACGCUGGCGGCAUGCUUUACACAUGCAAGUCGAACGGUAACAGGUUAGGCUGACGAGUGGCGAACGGGUGAGUAAUGCAUCGGAACGUGCCCGAUCGUGGGGGAUAACACUUCGAAAGAAGUGCUAAUACCGCAUACGAUCUGAGGAUGAAAGCGGGGGACCGUAAGGCCUCGUGCGAUCGGAGCGGCCGAUGUCAGAUUAGGUAGUUGGUGGGGUAAAGGCUCACCAAGCCGACGAUCUGUAGCUGGUCUGAGAGGACGACCAGCCACACUGGGACUGAGACACGGCCCAGACUCCUACGGGAGGCAGCAGUGGGGAAUUUUGGACAAUGGGCGCAAGCCUGAUCCAGCAAUGCCGCGUGCAGGAAGAAGGCCUUCGGGUUGUAAACUGCUUUUGUACGGAGCGAAAAGGCUCCCUCUAAUACAGGGGGCUCAUGACGGUACCGUAAGAAUAAGCACCGGCUAACUACGUGCCAGCCGCCGCCGUAA